rnacentral:rRNA from 1 species
GAUGAACGCUGGCUACAGGCUUAACACAUGCAAGUCGAGGGGAAACGACGGGGAAGCUUGCUUCCCCGGGCGUCGACCGGCGCACGGGUGAGUAACGCGUAUCCAACCUGCCUCUGACUGAGGGAUAACCCGUCGAAAGUCGGCCUAAUACCUCAUGGCAUCGUCUGCGGGCAUCCAACGACGAUUAAAGAUUUCAUCGGUCAGGGAUGGGGAUGCGUCUGAUUAGCUUGUUGGCGGGGUAACGGCCCACCAAGGCUACGAUCAGUAGGGGUUCUGAGAGGAAGGUCCCCCACAUUGGAACUGAGACACGGUCCAAACUCCUACGGGAGGCAGCAGUGAGGAAUAUUGGUCAAUGGGCGGGAGCCUGAACCAGCCAAGUAGCGUGCAGGAUGACGGCCCUAUGGGGUGUAAACUGCUUUUAUGCGGGGAUAAAGUGAGGGACGUGUCCUUCAUUGCAGGUACCGCAUGAAUAAGGACCGGCUAAUUCCGU